AUUGAACGCUGGCGGCAUGCCUUACACAUGCAAGUCGAGCGGAUGAGUGGAGCUUGCUCCAUGAUUCAGCGGCGGACGGGUGAGUAAUGCCUAGGAAUCUGCCUAGUGGUGGGGGAUAACGUUCGGAAACGGACGCUAAUACCGCAUACGUCCUACGGGAGAAAGCGGGGGAUCUUCGGACCUCGCGCCAUUAGAUGAGCCUAGGUCGGAUUAGCUAGUUGGUGAGGUAAUGGCUCACCAAGGCGACGAUCCGUAACUGGUCUGAGAGGAUGAUCAGUCACACUGGAACUGAGACACGGUCCAGACUCCUACGGGAGGCAGCAGUGGGGAAUAUUGGACAAUGGCGAAAGCCUGAUCCAGCCAUGCCGCGUGUGUGAAGAAGGUCUUCGGAUUGUAAAGCACUUUAAGUUGGGAGGAAGGGCAGUAAGUUAAUACCUUGCUGUUUUGACGUUACAAC
rnacentral:rRNA from 1 species